rnacentral:rRNA from 1 species
UACGAAGGGAGCUAGCGUUGUUCGGAAUAACUGGGCGUAAAGGGUGCGUAGGUGGGUGUGUGCGUUAGAUGUGAAAUCCCCGGGCUUAACCUGGGAACUGCAUUUAAUACGGCACGUCUAGAGUGCGAGAGGGGAAAGCGGAAUGGCGAGUGGAGCAGUGAAAUGCAUUGAGAUUCGCUAGAACACCAGAGGCGAAGGCGGCUUUCUGGCUCGCUACUGACACUAAGGCACGAAAGCGUGGGGAGCAAACAGG